GACGAACGCUGGCGGCGUGCUUAACACAUGCAAGUCGAACGGAAAGGCCCUGCUUUUGUGGGGUGCUCGAGUGGCGAACGGGUGAGUAACACGUGAGUAACCUGCCCUUGACUUUGGGAUAACUUCAGGAAACUGGGGCUAAUAUCGGAUAGGAGCUCCUGCUGCAUGGUGGGGGUUGGAAAGUUUCGGCGGUUGGGGAUGGACUCGCGGCUUAUCAGCUUGUUGGUGGGGUAGUGGCUUACCAAGGCUUUGACGGGUAGCCGGCCUGAGAGGGUGACCGGCCACAUUGGGACUGAGAUACGGCCCAGACUCCUACGGGAGGCAGCAGUGGGGAAUAUUGCACAAUGGGCGGAAGCCUGAUGCAGCAACGCCGCGUGCGGGAUGACGGCCUUCGGGUUGUAAACCGCUUUCGCCUGUGACGAAGCGUGAGUGACGGUAAUGAGUAAAGAAGCACCGGCUAACUACGUG
rnacentral:rRNA from 1 species